GACGAACGCUGGCGGCGUGCUUAACACAUGCAAGUCGAACGGAAAGGCCCUGCUUUUGUGGGGUGCUCGAGUGGCGAACGGGUGAGUAACACGUGAGUAACCUGCCCUUGACUUUGGGAUAACUUCAGGAAACUGGGGCUAAUACCGGAUAGGAGCUCCUGCUGCAUGGUGGGGGUUGGAAAGUUUCGGCGGUUGGGGAUGGACUCGCGGCUUAUCAGCUUGUUGGUGGGGUAGUGGCUUACCAAGGCUUUGACGGGUAGCCGGCCUGAGAGGGUGACCGGCGACAUUGGGACUGAGAGACGGCCCAGACGCCUACGGGAGGCAGCAGUGGGGAAUAUUGCACAAUGGGCGGAAGCCUGAUGCAGCAACGCCGCGUGCGGGAUGACGGCCUUCGGGUGGUAAACCGCUGUCGCCUGUGACGAAGCGUGAGUGACGGUAAUGGGUAAAGAAGCACCGGCUAACUACGUG
rnacentral:rRNA from 1 species